rnacentral:lncRNA from 1 species
AGAACACAUAUCUCCUCUCAUCGCCCACCACGCUCACUAGACAGAUCACUCAACUCAUGUCUAACUGGUGAGUCACAAUAGAUCCUAAGUCCACGGGAUAAUCCUCUAUCUCCACAUCACUUCUCCCAACCUACGUGGAUAAUGGGUCUCCACCUAACAGAAGUGAUAGAAGUGUCUCUCUCACACUCCACCUGAUCAGGGUCUCUUUCCAGAUAAAGGAUUCUAGACAUUUGAUCACAUCUCCACUCGUGAUCCAAAUGUCACACUCUACAUCCCUCGGUACAAACCACCAUGUACCCUUAGGCAUCUAUACUCCACCUCACCAAAAGACACACAACACACUGCUAAUGCAUCCUAACCCACUAUGCAUGCAAGCAAUUACACCAAGUAAUCCUAAUGUCUCAAAUUNNN